AACCCGAUUUAUCAAUUUGUAACAGGAAAUUCUAUGCUAUAUCAUGAAGUGACUGACUACAACUGAAACAUGGUAGCAAUCGAUAUCUGGGGACCCAACCUGCGAUUGGAAAACCAUAGUCGCAAUCGCAGAAGCACAGUUCAUUUUUUUUAGAAAGUUUUCUGUAUCCAAAUAGACACACGUUGAAGUCCAUUGAACAUCCAGUAAUAUUUAGCUUACUUUAUAGCUUACUGAGCGUCUAC